ACUGCUGAUGCUUCACCUUUGGAAUUGGAGGGCUUGGAGGAGAAGCGAUCGUCGGGGAGAUUGACCUUGCCGUCGCCCAUGUUUGGUGGAGCUCAAAAUUUGUAGAAUUCAAACGUAAACAGAGAGAUCCAGAAAGAAUGGAAGAAGAACGAGAAAGAGAAGAAUAGUAUGAAGACGAAGAUGAAGAUUAAGAAGAUUAAGAAGAUUGUGAUGAGUGGUUUGGAAGGCGAAGGGCGAAAGGAAUGGGAGGAGCUCUUC